rnacentral:rRNA from 1 species
AACGAACGCUGGCGGCAGGCCUAAUACAUGCAAGUCGAACGGGCGUAGCAAUACGUCAGUGGCGGACGGGUGAGUAACACGUGGGAACAUGCCUUUCGGUUCGGAAUAACGCAGGGAAACUUGCGCUAAUACCGGAUGACCCGGCGACGGAAAAGAUUUAUCGCCGAAAGAUUGGCCCGCGUAGGAUUAGCUAGUUGGUGAGGUAACGGCCCACCAAGGCGACGAUCCUUAGCUGGUUUGAGAGAACGAUCAGCCACACUGGGACUGAGACACGGCCCAGACUCCUACGGGAGGCAGCAGUAGGGAAUCUUGGACAAUGGGGGAAACCCGUANAUCCAGCCAUGCCGCGUGAGUGAUGAAGGCCUUCGGUU